UCUACUGUUCAGGCACGAGCUCAA
rnacentral:piRNA from 1 species